GACGAACCGUGCGAACGUUGUUCGGAUUCACUGGGCUUAAAGGGCGCGUAGGCGGGCAUGCAAGUCAGGGGUGAAAUCUUUCGGCUUAACCGGAAAACAGCCCCUGAUACUGCGUGUCUAGAGGGAGGUAGGGGCAUGCGGAACUUCCGGUGGAGCGGUGAAAUGCGUUGAUAUCGGAAGGAACUCCGGUGGCGAAAGCGGCGUGCUGGACCUCAUCUGACGCUGAGGCGCGAAAGCUAGGGGAGCAAACGGG
rnacentral:rRNA from 1 species